CGAAAAAUAUGUAUGAUCCCAACAACCCUGUCCCGAAAAUACAGAACUUGGGCAAUAUACUUUGAUAAAUGAGUGAUUUUCUUCGCUGACUUGGAGCUUCAGUUCACCUUUUCGAUCCUUCCAGUGGCCACAGUAUCUUAGUUAGUACCAGACAACAGAGACGGCAGGGAGGAGACGCAGAACCCCGGCAACACCGACGGAAGCUCAACCACAAUCAUCUCAAAAGCAAGGAGUCGAGGAAAAAAUAACAACAUGAAUAGCCAUGCAGACACCGAUAACACCUGUAACCACAACGACCAUGAACACUACCACAACAACAUGGUCAACGGGAAGAUCAGCACUAAGGAAGGUAAGUACCAGUGCGGAGCAGUUGAAGAGGGAGAGGAAGGCUUCCAAACGAUGGGUGAGAACCAUGGCAAGAGUUGGAGGUGGCGGUGAUGGUAGUGGUAGUGGUGGUCGUUUGCACAAGUGACGUAGAUAAUGAAAUGUAACUGAACAGAAAGACCGACUCAUGUUGGCAUUCAUAAAAAAAAGUUAGAAGGAUUGAAGAAUAGAGUACGGAAAGAUAAAGUUAGUGGAAUGUUGUCAGUGUUUUGAAAUAAUUAGGAUCUUACAUCAUUCGCUUUUCUGCGCCUCUAAGGUAUGUAAGAAUUGCACCCGUGUUGUUUGCUUGUCAUGUUGCCGUGCUUGUCACGUUGCCCGUGUGUAGCCGCAGCUGUGGCAGACAUGUGGAAGUGAGGGAAGUACAGACAUGGUUGUAAACAGUUUGGUUAUAUUCUGCAAGUUUCUUCUAUUACAUUUGUACAUACUACAUAAGCAUGGCUAUAGAAACUUUUCAUACUAGGAGAAAGAGCAGAUGAAAAUUUGACCUUUUAAUGAUUUAUGGGAGGGUUUAUGGCAUAAGUAUGGAGCUGGAGGGCAUAAUUAUCAAAGUUUUACUUCUUGGUCAAGUUACUGGCUGCUAUGUUGAGUGAGAAACACCUUAUUGUUCUCAAAGGUAGAGGCAUUUUUGUGUGAUGUGUACAUAUGUGUAUGAGGCAAUAUAUUUGGUGAGUGAGAGAAAGGCUGAAGGUUGAUGUUGAAGCAGAUGUUGUUUGUGUGACUGUGUAUUGUGAGUUUGGAACUAUUAAGCUGUAUUGUUUUUGGCUCGGAUCUUUUGAAACUGUUAGAACUUUAGGCUGUAAAAUGUUGUGGCUGUAAGACAUCUUGGCCCCAGGAACCUUUCAGCCAUGAAAUGUUUCUCCCGAAUGACAGCAAGAUUACAUGAAACUAUGUAGCACAGCUUUGUACUAUAAUAGUAAUCAAGCACUGGUUAAUUUGUUAAGAACUGUUCAAUAAGACCCCCCUAACUAAAAGUAACUUAUUGGUACUAAAGUUUUAAACUGUGUAAUGAGUUGAAAAUUGUUUAUAAAUGAAUAGAAAGACCCCCAUCAUAGAUUAACGGAUAGUAACUAUUCUCUGUGUAAUUAACUGAGAACUUUAUAUUUAUAAGCUUACAGACCCCACCCACUGUAACCUAACUGAUGCAACCUAUUUCGACAAAAAUAUUAACCUCUGCCGCUGCAGAUAGUAACCUAUUACCAGUUAAUGGUAAGUGGAGAUAUUUUGUUCUGUGAUGUAGUGGUAACAAAAUUUCAGCAGAGACGUCUUGAUAGUUUGGUUAUUUAGGCAGUAUGCAAUUUAGGUCGUGUGUUUAUGCUGUUAGGUAACUCAUCCGUUUACUAGUUUGUCGUUGCCCAAGUGGCUUAUGACUCAAGCGGGCAGGGCCAAGUGUUGUUGCAGGCAGUUGGGAAAAUAGCAGCUAUGUUAACAAGGGAUUCCUUUUUUUAAUUACAGUAAUUUUACAUUUCACAAGGUAAAUGUCAGGGAGUUAUACUCUGUCUAAUACAUAUCCCAAAUAAGGAAACUUUAAUUGGGUAGUAGGAACAGAGUUGUGUCAAGCAGAACACCUCACAUAGAAUGGGCCUGAACCUCAUGCUGUUGUCUAGGCAAGCCAGCCCUCAUAGACACUCAUGGACCAUGAGUGGAGGGAAAAUAUGUAAAUAAAUGAUGGAAAUAAAAACUGCAGCAAG